ensembl:snoRNA LOC120098689 small nucleolar RNA SNORA17
UCUGCUCCUAAAGGCAUCGCAGGUGUGGCUUCUGUAUCGUAUUUCCGUCAGUAGGUGGCAGAGAGGAGAAAGGCUAGGUCUCUGCUCAGUGUUCUGACCUGUGAACAUCUGAAUGACAUUCCCUGAAAAA